CAUUCACAUUUAUUUUCUUUUUCUUUUUUUAAUUCAUUUUAUUUUCUGUUUUGUUUUUUAUUAAUAAAAAUAUUUUAUUUAUUCAUAAAAAUACCAAAAAAUAUUUUCCACAUUUCUUAAUGUUUUAUUUAAUUUUAUUUAAUUUUUAUUUUCAUAUUUAUUUAAUGUUAAUAUUUCAUUUUAAUUAUUUAUUUCAAGUGGUUCAUAUUAGCAUACUUUUUU
rnacentral:lncRNA from 1 species